AGAGUUUGUCCUGGCUCAGAUUGAACGCUGGCGGCAUGCCUUACACAUGCAAGUCGAACGGCAGCACGGACUUCGGUCUGGUGGCGAGUGGCGAACGGGUGAGUAAUGCAUCGGAACGUGCCAUUGAGUGGGGGAUAACGUAGCGAAAGUUGCGCUAAUACCGCAUAUUCUGUGAGCAGGAAAGCAGGGGACCGCAAGGCCUUGCGCUCUUUGAGCGGCCGAUGUCAGAUUAGCUAGUUGGUGAGGUAAAGGCUUACCAAGGCGACGAUCUGUAGCGGGUCUGAGAGGAUGAUCCGCCACACUGGAACUGAGACACGGUCCAGACUCCUACGGGAGGCAGCAGUGGGGAAUUUUGGACAAUGGGGGCAACCCUGAUCCAGCCAUGCCGCGUGAGUGAAGAAGGCCUUCGGGUUGUAAAGCUCUUUCGGCCGGGAAGAAAUCGCAUGGGCCAAUACCCUGUGUGGAUGACGGUACCGGAAUAAGAAGCACCGGCUAACUACGUGCCAGCAGCCGCGGUAAUACGUAGGGUGCGAGCGUUAAUCGGAAUUACUGGGCGUAAAGCGUGCGCAGGCGGUUUUGUAAGACAGGCGUGAAAUCCCCGGGCUUAACCUGGGAACUGCGUUUGUGACUGCAAGGCUAGAGUACGGCAGAGGGGGGUGGAAUUCCAC
rnacentral:rRNA from 1 species